AGAAUGAACGCUGGCGGCGUGCUUAACACAUGCAAGUCGAACGGAAUCCAAGGAGCUUGCUCUGGAAGAUUUAGUGGCGAACGGGUGAGUAUCACGUGAGCAACCUGCCCCGAAGACUGGGAUAACACCGGGAAACCGGUGCUAAUACCGGAUACCUUCCAAUGACCGCAUGGUCGAUGGAAGAAAUGUUUUUCGCUUCGGGAGGGGCUCGCGGUCCAUCAGCUUGUUGGCGGGGUAACGGCCCACCAAGGCUUCGACGGAUAGCUGGUCUGAGAGGACGAUCAGCCACACUGGAACUGAGACACGGUCCAGACUCCUACGGGAGGCAGCAGUGGGGAAUCUUGCGCAAUGGACGAAAGUCUGACGCAGCAACGCCGCGUGAGGGACGAAGGUUUUCUGAAUUGUAAACCUCUUUCGGCAGGGACGAUAAUGACGGUACCUGUAGAAGAAGCACCGGCCAACUAUGUGCCAGCAGCCGCGGU
rnacentral:rRNA from 1 species